CCGGCAAUCCACCACCUCGCAGCACGACGCAAGCGGCUCCCCCAUGCACGACGACCUCCCACCGCCACGCCACCUCCCUCCCCUGCGCUGCCGCCGCGCCAUCCCUGCACUGGGUCGCCGCCCCCGCCAAGCCACCUACAUCCGCCGGCCACGCCCCGUCAAGCAACAGCCGGAUCCGACGAGAACCGGCUCUACCUCCCUGUCUCCCCCUCCUCAAAACAUGUGCCGCACCUCUCCAGGCCACCGCCGCCGGAUUCAUGACGGGGCGCCGCCUUGCAACCCCGCCUCGGCCUCCCACUACCACCACCUUCACCUUCUCCUCCCGGCCGCCGCUGGCGCUCAGGGCUGCCUCCCAGCCCAACCACCAAUGGAUCCGACGGGAUCCUCAUCGUCAACCACCCAGUACCCCACAACCACCCAGAUCUACGCCACCAUGGCUGCAUGCCUUCUCCUUCUCCCCUCAACCCCCCUCCCCGGGUGAGCCCACUAGCCUUCGGAGCCCCGCCAGGCGCCGGAUCCCGACAGCUACUCCCGAGUCCACACACCCCCUCUACUUCAGUGGCUGCAUGAGAUAGAAUUUGGUCACCCGGGACGGGAUUCGCCCGCUGUGGAUGAGAUUCAGCGGAGGCAUCGCUCCCGCAUCCAUAGAAAAGCCAACGAGACGGGUCAAUGGGAUUCACCGCCGGCCCCAUGUGGGACGACGACCAUGGCCCUAGGAUGAUGACGCCGAAAAUGUGGCGUGCAGCUCAUUGCGGCCCACUGUGAAGCUCACCUCGGCUCAGCCUGCAGUUCGGGGCCGCCACGACAGGCCCCGUUGUUGUUCUCCUCGGCGUACAGCGGCGGCGCCCGCAACAUCUCCCCUUCGACAAACGGCGUUUUGGUUGCAGUCCCACGGGCAUAUAGGUGCAGUACUGUGGGGAUUGGACAUGCAGUGCGCAAGCAG